UUAAGUUCAGCGGGUAUCCCUACCUGAUCCGAGGUCAAAUUCAUGGGGGUAGCUUCUGGGAGCCGAUCCGCCGGUCUCGAGUUCGCGUUUCUGCUGCGCUCGAAGCCAACGUGCCGGCCGCCAAUUGUUUUAAGGCGAGUCUACGCGCAAGGCGAGACAAACACCCAACACCAAGCAGAGCUUGAAGGUACAAAUGACGC
rnacentral:misc_RNA from 1 species